AACGAACGCUGGCGGCAUGCCUAACACAUGCAAGUCGAACGAGACCUUCGGGUCUAGUGGCGCACGGGUGCGUAACGCGUGGGAACCUGCCCUUAGGUUCGGAAUAACUCCCCGAAAGGGGGGCUAAUACCGGAUAAUGUCUUCGGACCAAAGAUUUAUCGCCUUUGGAUGGGCCCGCGUUGUAUUAGCUAGUUGGUAGGGUAAAAGCCUACCAAGGCGACGAUCCAUAGCUGGUCUGAGAGGAUGAUCAGCCACACUGAGACUGAGACACGGCCCAGACUCCUACGGGAGGCAGCCGUGGGGAAUAUUGGACAAUGGGCGAAAGCAUGAUCCAGCAAUGCCGCGUGAGUGAUGAAGGCCUUAGGGUUGUAAAGCUCUUUUACCCGCGAUGAUACUGACAGUACCGGGAGAAUAAGCACCGGCUAACUCCGUG
rnacentral:rRNA from 1 species